AAAAAAAAAAAAAAAAGCACAAUUUAAUUUGCAUGGCCACUGGAGUGGUUAACAAGCCAUGUCCCCAGCAGAGGAGCCUCCUCAAAACCGUAGAUCCUGUACACAUAAAGCCUGAAGGUUCACCUAAUGCUGACACCAAUCUGAGCAACUGCAAAUGUUGCUACAGUUCAUACAUAGUGUUUUGUGUACUUGCUCUAGCCUUAAAUGACAUUCAAAUUGCAGCUUUAAAGCCUAAUAAACGUAACAUGUCAUUGCUUCUAAUAGGACACAAGCUUCUUGUUAAGCUAACAGUUGAAGCCUUUGGACAUUUCUGGAUUUGUCUUGGAUUGGCUCACCUUAAGAUCUUUCUUGGCUUGCUUUGUACUUUAUACUAUGAACAAUUACCUACCUAUUUUGGCAGUUACAUAGUGUUACUAUUAUUUAUCUAGGUGACUAUUACUGAUUAUUACAUUUGUUCCAGUAUAUUUUACCUUUUGGUUAGUUUUGCAUUGUCGUCAGUUAUAAUGUGUUUUAUAACUAAUUGUUGCCUUCUGGAACUAAUAUGUUAUUUUCUGUAGGAUUAAAUACCUAUAAGCCUGCAAUAAAAAGCAGGAUAGAGAAGUAGAAAAAUCAAAUGAUAGCAGGUGCCUUGAACACACAGGCAUAGAAUCAUACUGGGGUGCUCAGGCUAUAGGCAGGUCAUUAGUAUGCUACUAGCUAUUAACAGACUAACGACCAUCACAGAAGCAUCCAACAUAGGUGAAACACAACCUAUAGUAAAUUUCAACAUAUUCUGCAGUCUUAUGAAAUAAUAAGGCAAUAUAUAGACUAUGCUAACAAACAUACACAGAUCCUAGUGAAAGGAACCAUCAGCAUCUAUGUUUUACUUCUGCUAGCAAGGAUAAGGAAGAAACCUCAGCCAUCAAUAUCAUGCUCAAUGAUGAACUCAAAAUGCAGUGCCCAUAUUGAAGCCAUUAAUGUUUCAGACUCACAGGGUGAGUGGAAGGAUUAGCAUCCAAUCAAAGAAAGGGAUAAGUAUUGGAAAAAUGUGGAUCUAUCAAUAUUAAUUGUAGACAGCCUGAACUAUAAUUGCUGGUAACCAUUUAAGUGGACUAAUACUAGUUCUUGGUCAUCCCACUAAUAUUUUACCUGGACUAACAGGAGGUUAUUGGCUUUGUAUUUAAUGUGUGUUCUUUGACUCCCAACAUCAUACGUGAGUUGUGUGUCUUGUAUUUGUGCAGUACAUACCAUAGUGACACAUACCCUACUGGUAACAUGAAAUAAUGAGCUUCUCACCUGAAACAAAAAAAAAGUGUAGCAGAGCUCUAAAAAUCAACAAUGUGAAUCAUAUAGUUUCAGAUGGAAAUAGAAAUCUUUCAAUUUGUACAGUAAUUGUACAGUAGCUUACAGCAAAGUUCACAUUUGGUCAUAUGAAGAUCUAUUAAUUGCUAUGAAAGUUUUUUAUUUAUUUGCUUUUCCAGGCUGAGUUAUCUCAUGAGAUCAUCCUCUAAAAACUCAAAUAGCACUGCUUGCCAACAUUAUUUGGGAACAAGACAAUCUAUUUAUCCUGACUUUAGGCCUAUGACGUGAAAAGCCUACUGCUGAUUUUUCCUUUGUACUGUUUUAACACUUUGGACAGCAUUUUGUUGCAAUGAGAAAAACUGAAGAAAAUGUGUAAGAAGAACUAUAAGAAAAGGAAUCUCAAAAAGUGAAGGCCAUGAAGAGAAAACAUACAGACUUCUAGAAAAGCCAAAGGCUUUGUUGGGUUUCCUCCUUAUGUAGGAACGUUUUGAGGACUGGAUAGGAUUUCAGAUAGGACUGUGUUUACAACACUCUUGUCUUUUACAGGGAAAUCCUCACAUGUAUAGUGAUAACAUUACUCUAGAAGGUGUUAAGUAGCCUCAAAGUGUGUCAUCCUUUCAAAUCCUCCCAAAAAUCAUAAAGUUCCCUUGCAGGGGCUGCUGCUUCUGAGUCAGAGAGAAAAAGGACAGUAACAUAAAUUAGAUAUGAAUCUCUCCACAUAACAAGGAGUAAGGAACAUGACCACUGAGGAAAAUGAAAAAGCUGAGCUUCUCAAUGCCUUCUUUACACCUGUCUCUAAUAGAUAAAUUAUACUUGGGGUACUCAGCCUUCCUGCCUGGAAGCCUGGGGUGAAGAGCAGAAAAAACCCUCCAUGAUUCAGGUGGAAACAUUUAGAGACCUGCUAGUCCACCUGGAAUUCCACAGGUCCAAGGGAACAGUUGUUAUCCACCUGAGGGUGUUGAGGGAGAUAACAGAUCAUAGAAUCACAGAAUAAUAGAAUCACCAAGGUUGGAAAAGACCCACAGGAUCACCCAGUACAACCACCCACCCACGAUCCACCCACAUCCACCCAGAUGUGAUUGCCAAGCCACUUUCCUUCAUCUAUCAGCAUUUCUGGUCAACUGGAGAGGUUCCAGAUGACUGGUGGCUUGGCAGUGCGCUGCCAUCUAUAAGAAGGAUCCAGAGAACACAGGCCUGUCAGCCUGACCUCAGUGCUAGCAAAGGUUAUAAAACUGAUCAUCUUGAGUGCAAUUACACGGCAUGUGCGGGACAAGUAGGGGAUCAGGCCCAGCCAAAACAGGUUUAUAAAAUGCAGGUUCUGCUUGACCAACCUGAUCUCAUUCUAUGAUUGAGUGACUUGCCUGAUGGGUGAGGGAAAGACCAUUGAUGCAGUCUUCCUAGACUUCAGCAAAGCCACUGACGGUCUGCCACAGCAUUCUCCUAGAAAACCUGGCAGACUAGGAAAGCCUGGACACGUGCACUCUUUGCUGGGUGAAGAACUGGAUGGAUAGCUGGACCCAGAGAGUGAUGGUGAAUGGAGUUAAAUCCAACUGGUGACCGGUCACCAGUGGUGCUCCCCAGGGGGUGGUACUGGGGUCGGUUCUGUUCAAUAUCUUUACUGAUGAUCUGGAUGAGGGCAUUGAGCGCAGCCUCAGUAAGUCUGCAGAUGACACCAAGCUAGCAGGAAGAGUUGAUCUGCCUGGGAGUAGGAAGGCCCUACAUAGGGAUCUGGACAAGCUGGAUUGCUGAGCUGAGGCCAAAGGGAUGAAGUUCAACAGGACCAAAUGUGAGGUCCUGCACUUUGGCCUCAGCAGCCCCAGGCAGGCAACACCACAGAGUUUGGGCAGAGUGGCUAAAAGACUUUGCAGAAGAAAUGCACCUAGGUGUGCUGAUCCACACUCAGCUGAACAUGAGCCAGCAGUGGCCCAAGAAGGCCAAUGGCAUCCUGGCUUUUAUGAGAAAUAGUGUAGCCAAUGGGAGCGUGGAGAUGAUUGUCUCCUUGUAUUCAGUUCUGGUGAGGCUGCACCUUGAGUGCUGUGGGUUCAGGUUUGGGCCCCUCACUACAAGAAAGAUACUGAGGCCCUGAAGCAUAUUCAGAGAAGGGCAACAAAGCCAGUGAGGGGUCUGGAACAGAAGUCUUAUGUGUACCAGUUGAGGGAGCUGGGAUUGUUUACUCUGGAGAAAAGGAGGUUUAGAGCAGACCUUAUCGCUCUCCACAGCUACCUGAAAGGAGAUUGUGGUAAGGUGGGGGUCAGCCUCUUCUCUUAAUUAGCUAGUGAUAGGAGAGGAAGGAGUGGCCUCAAGCUGCAAUAGGGAUUCAGACUGGAUAUUACGAAGAAUUUAUUCUCCAAAAGAGCAGUUAUGCAUUGGAAUAAGCUGCCCAAGGAGGUGUUUGAGUCACCAUUCCUGGAGGUAUUUAAAGAAAUAUAGUAUCUGGGGACAUGGCUUAGCAGGCAAUAUCUGUGGUAGGUGGAUAGCUGGACUAGAUGAUCUUAGUAUUCUUUUCCAACCUUGAUGAUUCUAUGAUUCUACGAUAACAAAAUAUGAAUGUUUUUGACUUGUUUACUUUAGAUUUUCUGUCUUCAGUGCUCAUAUGAAGAGCUGGGAGACAUGGAAGAUGAAGAGUUCAUCCUUAAUACCUCCAAACUCCCAGCUGCCCAACUAAGCACCAGCAGCAUUACUUGGCAUUUACAUUUCUUAGGUAGCUAUUAAAUAAUUUAUCACAUAUCUAUAUAUCUGUAGAAGGCUGUUUUUAUCACACACAUGAAAUAUUUAUGUAUAUUGUAACUAUAAACCAUAUAACUAUAAAUACUACAUUCAACAUGAUAGUUUUGCUCACAAGCUAAGCAUCUUGCUAGAAACUUGCAAGUAAAAGUUGCAAUACCAUUAGAUCUGGCAAUGAUACAAAAUAGUUGAUAAACAAAAAUCUAAAACAAAACAUAGUACAUCAUUUCUCAUUUCAUUAAUGUAGGAUUUAUAACACAAUUAUAAUACAACAAUUCUUGAUAAAAUCACUGCAUUUCCAUAAGAAAACCAGCUGCUUACAUGUUGCACUAUACCAUAUCAAUGCCUAAACUAUUACAAACAAUUCAAACUAAUGAAAAAAAAAACAAAAAAACAAAACACUGGCUGUGAUCCAGUGCAUUGUUACCCUCACUAUAGAAAUAUGCCUGACACCUGAGAGAAAAAAGCUCGCAAUCUUAAUAAAAUGAAAGACGUAGCUUUUAAAAGCAUAUACUGAGAUAAAUUAGUUCUUGAAGUAACAGCUAGUAUUAGCUGAAUUACAUGAAGAAACAAACUUCUGACUUUACUCUAGAUAAGGAUUAUUAAAAUUAUGCAGUAUCCUUAUUUCUCUUUUCCUUUUUCAAAACAGAAAUCGAAUAAAUAUGUAAUACAGCUUAUAUGAAGUAUAAUUUAAGGCUCAUGUCACUUCCCUGAACUCUAGGGACCUCUCUCCAUAAACAACUACAAGGUAUUAAAGAAAGAUGUAGAGUUGGCACGCAUUCGUGUUGUUCUCAGAACAUGGUCUUUUCUCACUGUAAACAAAAAAAAAUACACUUGCUGUUUUUUACUGGGGACAGAACAGUCAAUGCUCAGAUGCCCAGAAUUCUUGAUCGGGGUCUUUUCUCAUUCUAGCUGCUGCAGAACCCACGCUUUCUCAUGUCUCAGCCCUUCUGGCAGGAGAGAAGAAACACUGUUAGGUGUAUUAUUUUCAGUAACACAAAUACAUUAGGUGUUCUUUACCCAUAAUAAUCAAAUAAAGGAAAUACGUUAGGAUUUCUUGCUCAGUGGUUGCCGUCUCCCCUUAUGUGAUGGAAUUAAUAGUCAGCUCUACAUAUGAGGCAUCAUUCCCAUGCACAUUUGCUGCAUUAUCUGCAACAAAGUAUAUUGCAUUUGAUGUUUCUCUAUCUACAUUAAGUUUAAAACAGAUUAAUUAAGUCAACUGGCCUCAUUUCUUUCUCAACAUGUUUACACUGAAAUAGUCACACUGACGUCAUGGGAGCUGAGUGAUACAUUUCUACUAAGUACAGUUGAUGGACAAUUUCAAUUUACUUCUACUCUUCUUCCCUGGAAGACAGAUGGGCACAUCUGAGCAAAACAGUAGCAAAGCAUCCACACAGGUUAUUGCAUUGCCUACCAAUCUUUGAAAGGCUCUCAGGCAUAGAGUUUGUUAGAAAAGUAAUCCUAUAAAAUCUUUUUUUGUCUUUUCCUUCUUGUACAGCUUCUCUUUGAAAUUCAGUGGCAUGUGUUUCCUUCCUCCACUGCUUUCUUUCUGCUCCUUGGCUUUGUCUUAUGCUUCCAUUUUUCCAGUUCUUCUUCAUAUACAUUUGUCUGUCUGCCGAACACCUCGCUGGGUUUUUCUGCCUGUUCCCACGAUUUUAACUACAUUAAAGUCAUUCAAACAAAUAAAUGAUCUCCUAUGGGUAAACACAGAAUAUACACAGGUCACUCCAAAAGUAAUGCAAAAGGAAAUGACAACAGAUACAAAUAGCACAAUAGUAGCAUUUGAUAGAAAAAAUUCUCAGCUACAAAAUGCUAUUUUUCAAUAUAGUCACAACCAUUAGUUACAUAUUUUCACUAGUGAUGAACAAAAGCUAGCAUGCUGUGCUCAUAAAAGUCUGCGUGACCAUCCAGAACAUGGCUUGUCUUUAACGUCACUGUUGCCACUGCAGAAACGCAGGAACCACCACCUCACUGUGCUCAUUUCCACUGUUUGAUCUCUAGAAACAUUCAGCAAGUAUUGAUGAACCUCAGUGGGUGCCAUUUUUUCCAUGUGGAGGGAUUUAUGACACACCUUUGCUUCCGUACCAGGACACCAUUUUGUCAGACUGCCCCUCUGCUGUCAUCUGUCACAUGGCAUCAAAAAUGUAAUGGAAUAUUGGCAGGAGUGUUCAAACUCUACUGCUGCACCACUAACAUCCACCUCUGGCAUGAUGGACCAACGCCAUAAAACAGGGGGCAUUGCUUUUGGAGCUAACUUAUUCUGUUCUGUGCUCAUUCUAGUCAUUCUUCUGCCACUACCACUCCAGUCUACCACAUACCCUUUUCAGUUUCUGCUUUACCAUAAUUUUCUUAUCAGUCUACCCCUACUCCAGAGAGGAUGUUGUUGCUUUCUGAACAGCUACCCCUCCCCUAAGCACUCAGUAACUGCCUCUUUUCACAUCCACUGGUAGAUUCUCAAGCAAGUAUUUUUUACUCCUUUUUCUCCCCAGUAUCCAUGCCACAGGACACAUAUUAUAAAGCAGGCCAGCACAAUCAAUCACUCCAUAACCACAUGUACUCCUUCUACUUCGUCACUUCUGUGCCAGAACCUGAUCUGCCUAUCUCUACAGUCCCAUCUACAAAAAUAUAUUUCCUCAUAUACUGUAGUAACAAAUGGAUCCUCUUUUUUUUUUUUUUUUUUUCCUCUACAAAAAAAAACAUUUCCUGUUCUAAUACUCCAUCAUGUGCUUUCCAUGCAGGUCUUCUGGACCUGCCUGUAUUUAAUAAUUCUGUAUUUUAACCCUGUUACCAGUCUUAAACUCAGACAAUAAAAAUGCUCUGAAUUCCUCCCAGAUGCAUCCAUUCACCCAUCUCCCAAUUUCUACUGAGCUCUCUAUCAGACACAUUUCCAUAGAACCAUUUUGCCAGUAUAUAUACGUACAGGUUUUGUCCGUGAUAGUUAAUUUUCCUCACAGGAGCUUCUGUGAUUUGGAUUCGUGACCAAAACAGCACUGAUAACUCAGCCCUGUCUUAGAGCAGCGCUUUCAGAGUCACGACCUUCCCUGUUUCGCACUCUGUCUCCAUUGCAGAGCUGGGGGUGCCCAGAGGCUGGGAGGGGGCGCACACAGGAGAGCCAGCCCUGCUCAACCGAAGGGCGUUCCAUGCCACGUGGCCGCGCUCAGCAAUGAAAGGUAUGAGGGUGACAUAAGAGAGGAAAGGUACAAGGCGUCCACAGUGAUGGCGUUUGUCUUCCCAAGUGAUGCUAACGUGAGCCGCAGCCCCGGAAGCAGAGAGCACCCAUCUGCGGGCCGAUGGGAGGUGCUGAAUUAAUUUCUGAUUUUGCUUCGCCUGUGGGCGCAGCUUUUGCUUUAACUGUUAACCUCUCUUAAUCUCAGCCCACGGCUUUUCUGCGAGGUGCCGCUGCCUGCCGGGGUUAAACCACAGCAGGAUGGCAGAUCUCUAUUUUUCUGAUGUCAAGUUGUACAAUCACCAAGUUUUUUGACGGCAAGUAAACCGACAUCGGAUCCGCGGUAAAAAUGAGGAUCGCUGCUUCUUGUCCCGGCCCACACACACGUCCGCCCGUGUAACGUAACGGGUUCGGUCGGCCUCAAUUGGCGUUUUGGAGGGACUGCUGCACGGGGCCGCGUCGAGAUUUUACAUUCUCUGGAACGCCGGGGCUCGCGUGCUACCGGCGCACCCCCGUUUUACUCCUCGCCUAAACACGGUUCUCCCCUCGAGCGCUGCCGACCCCGGGCCGGAUUCGGCCGCAGACGGCGGGCCCCGCGGAGGGCGUAGGAGGGAGCGGCGAGCCGUCCCGCGCGGCCGCCAUGGAGACGUAACGGUCGCUACCCC
ensembl:lncRNA